GUGGAGCCACCGGGUUCAGUUCGGAGGGGGCGACCUGGUUCUGGGACCCGGGGCGGUGCGGGGAGUAGGGACAGGAGUGGGCUGAGAGUGGCGUGGGGUGGGAUCCGGGGGGUCCUUCCUUCGCGAGGGGCCGGGCGCUGCCUCACGGCUCCGCGCUGCCGCCCGCUGUUGUCUGAAGCAGAGGGUGAGCGGUUCCGGAGUCCCGGUUUCGAAACCCGGUGGGGUUGUGGCAUGGGGAGGAGGAGGGGACAUCAGACCCGGGGGCCACCGACCUGAUCCCCCAGCAGAGGCAGUCGGACAGUCGGUGAAUUUCUCCUUUCACGUAUGCUUCAAAGGCUGUGUGUCCAUGAUGGAGAAGGGGCAUGGAGAAAGUCUCAUUGCAAACUGGGCAGGGCUGGAGCUGCCAGUGUGACUGAAGUGAAGCCCUGGAACCCCAGGUACCCAGACACAGCCAACCCAACAGCCCUGGGGUGCCAGUUUGCUGACAAGCUUCUGAUGCCACACAUGCAAAUCUGUUCCCACUCCAUUUAUCAAGUUGGUCAGAAGAAAAUGUGCCUGAAAUGGCCACGAAUUUGAGGGAGGAGUUGGCAGUCUGACUUGUGAGUAUGCCUGGGCCAGGCUCUGCAGGUUGCUGCUGUGCUCUCAGUGCAGGAUCUGCCCCACUCUUGGAUCCUUGCUCCACGUGUAUGCUUAUGAAGAUGGUUUCUUACUGUGCAGCUGCAUCUUAG